CACGUAGGGGGGCAAGCGUUGUCCGGAUUUAUUGGGCGUAAAGAGCUCGUAGGCGGUUCGGCAAGUCGGGCGUGAAACCCCCAGGCUCAACCUGGGGACGCCACCCGAUACUGCUGUGACUGGAGUCCGGUAGGGGAGCGUGGAAUUCCUGGUGUAGCGGUGAAAUGCGCAGAUAUCAGGAGGAACACCAGCGGCGAAGGCGGCGCUCUGGGCCGGUACUGACGCUGAGGAGCGAAAGCGUGGGUAGCAAACAGG
rnacentral:rRNA from 1 species